GGGUUAGGUACACAUAUAUGGUGAUGGAUAGACCACAGAUACACAGCAAGAACAAUUCAACUAGUGAGAACACACAUAUGUGAUACAAUAUUUAUAAGUACCAAACUGAACCAUUCACGGAUUGCAAGCAUUCAUAGAAUCUGAACAUUACAGGGCAUUACACAUCUCCUAUUACAGAAAUUCAGAGAAUAUAGAGAGGGAAAAAGAGGGAUAGCAGCAGUUUAUGGUUAAGAUUAGGAGCAGUAGGGGCGUUUGAGAGAAGGUGCAGCAAGAAAGAGGUGCAACCGCAGUUUUGGGGAGAGGUAGUAGCAGCCAGCAGUUGGUUCAGAGAAGGAGCAGCAGCUUGGGAUUUUGAGAAGAGCAGCAGGGAAUAGGAGCAACAGCAAGGAGAAGUGCAGAGGAAAAGCAACAGCAAGGGGGUGCGAGGAGAAGAAGGAGCAGCGGCAGACAGCGCAAGAAGAAGAAGCAGCAAGCAGCGGAAGGAGGGAGAAGUAGUAGCAGAGAUUGAGAGAGCAAGCAGCAGCAGGGGCGUGGGAAGAAGAAACAGCAGCAGGCAGAGAGCAGAAGAAGGAAGAGGGAGUUGGCGAUGGUGGUGGCACACUGGUGGUCUGCGAGAUGGGUCCGAGGCGAAUGAGUUGGGUGGCGCACUCACGCGGGUGACCAGACACUCGCGCCGGAGUGUCUGAUGCAUCGCGUGAGGGAGCGGCUGGUGUGGUGGAUGUAGGCACUGGAGGUAGGAGGAGUAGUGGUGGCGCUGGGUGAUGGAUGGAGGCGGUGCUGGUUGGCGCACCACCACGCCGGCCUGGCCGCGGCGGCGGCCGGAGGUGGAAGAAUAAGUGGUGAGGGAGAGGAGGAGAGAUGCCAGGCCCGAAAGGGGAUC
rnacentral:rRNA from 1 species